rnacentral:rRNA from 1 species
AAUCAACGCUGGCGGCGUGCCUCAGACAUGCAAGUCGAACGAUUAAAGCUCUCUUCGGAGAGUGUAUAGAGUGGCGCACGGGUGAGUAACACGUAAGUAAUCUACCUUUGAGUGGGGAAUAACCCGGGGAAACCCGAGCUAAUACCGCAUAAUGCAGCGGCAUCGCAAGAUGACAGUUGUUAAAGGAGCAAUCCGCUUAAAGAGGAGCUUGCGGCAGAUUAGCUAGUUGGUAAGGUAAUGGCUUACCAAGGCUACGAUCUGUAUCCGGUCUAAGAGGACGGUCGGACACACUGACACUGAAUAACGGGUCAGACUCCUACGGAGGCAGCAGUCGGGAAUUUUGGGCAAUGGGCGAAAGCCUGACCCAGCAACGCCGCGUGAAGGAUGAAGUAUUUCGGUAUGUAAACUUCGAAAGAAUAGGAAGAAUAAAUGACGGUACUAUUUAUAAGGUCCGGCUAACUACGUGCCAGCCGCCGCCGUAAC